ensembl:snRNA U7 U7 small nuclear RNA
AAGUUUUAUAGCUCUUUCAGAGUUUGUCUAGCAGAUUUUCCAGUUUUUAAUCAGAAAACCCCC